rnacentral:rRNA from 1 species
UACAGAGGUCCCGAGCGUUGUUCGGAUUCACUGGGCGUAAAGGGUGCGUAGGCGGUCGGGUAAGUCUGAUGUGAAAUCUCACAGCUUAACUGUGAAACUGCAUUGGAUACUAUUCGGCUUGAGAGUUGGAGGGGGGACUGGAAUUCUUGGUGUAGCAGUGAAAUGCGUAGAUAUCAAGAGGACCACCAGUGGCGAAGGCGAGUCCCUGGACAACUUCUGACGCUGAGGCACGAAAGCUAGGGGAGCAAACAGG